rnacentral:tRNA from 1 species
GUCUCCUUAGUUAAAUGGAUAUAACGAGUCCCUCCUAAGGAUUAGUUAUCGGUUCGAUUCCGGUAGGGGACA